CCGCCGCUAGCUCAGUUGGUUAGAGCCAAUAACCUUUAUGUUGUAGGAGCGAGGUUCGAGGCCUCGGUGGCGGGCCA
rnacentral:tRNA from 1 species